UGUUUGGAGUAUUUGUUUACCAUGCCAAGGAAUUCUGAAUAAUAUUAUGCUGAAUUAAUAGGCACAGGUUUGUAUACCUGCAGGAGAAAGACUACCCAAACAAAAUGUCUGUGACUAACAGUGCAUGUAAAACACAACAAAAUGCACUUUGCAGUAGCGCCUACUGUAGUAGCGUAAAAGAAAUCUCUCACAACAAAUAAUGUAUGUAUGCUUGCUGUCAUCUUUUAAGACCUAUCUUUAAUUUUAUAAUUUUUUAUUUUCUGUUUUUAUAAUUUAUUUAUUUUUUUAAACAUAUAUCACUAUUAUUUGUUUGUCUGUUUCUGUUCACUGCAGGGGUUGUUUUGCAGCCUUAGCUGUGGAAAUAGGAAGCUGUAAAGCAUGGAAGAUCAGUGCUGCUCCAGUCUGCAGGAGUGACAAAGCCCUCAUAUCCAGCCCCAAUCAGUGACGACACCUGAAGACAUUAAAACACUGUGCUGGGCCAUGAAAUUAAUGAGAUACACAAGGAAAACUACAUCCCUGACUUGCUUCAGUUGCCAUUUCUGCUGAUGGGAAAGAAGAUUUUAACUGUCCUCCCAGUUUUAUGCACCAAAUAAGUAGCUUCUCGUCAAUAAACAUCCUCAUAACUGCAUUUAAUUUAUGGUGGACUGAAACCCACCUCAUAGAAUAUUAAUGCUCCUGAAGUCAGUAACAACACUUUGUUUUAGAGUGGUUAUGGAGUGCUGGCCAUAGCUCAGAAUAGCUGCAUGACUCAUCCAAAAGUUGAAACCCAAGUUUGUUUUGCAGGUAGUAAGGAGACAGUCCACCAAGUCGAUAAGGAGGCAGUCGUAGAAAUAAACAGCCAGAGAAGGAGAUGAUGAGAUGGGGAAGCAGGGUGGAAUCAGGGGAGGAGAUGAGGAGAUAGACAGCGAGACAGGCAACUAGGUGAGUGUAGUUGUGACCACACACGCUAUAUUGAGGAAGCAUCACAGGGAGCUGUGGAAGGUUUGAUUUGGCAGCAAUAGGUCCACAGGGAUGAGGAACAGGAGAAGGACACACCCAGAGCAGCAGGAGACCAUCGAUUUCACCACAGACAGACACAGCCACAGAGAGCGGAGAGGAGGUCAGUCUGCAGUCUCUCUGCACCACACCACACCACCCCUCUGCCACACACAUUCACAAGUGUCACAGGUAGCCCCAGCACUGACAGAUCCCCGAGGAGUGGAGGGAGGCAUGGGGAGAUAAGCAGACUGCACAUGGCAAGAGAUACAGGUUCCUACCUACCUCUGAUAUGGGAAUAUUGUUUAACAGUGAAGAACAUUAUCUAGGUGAUUAGUAUGUAUUGCAAAAUGAACCCCAGGCCCUUGGUCUUAUCACAAACCCAGUGUGACUUUCUAUUCCUGGAAAUCAGUCUUGCUGCCUGUAAGGCCGUCUGUUAAAAAUGAUGCUAGAGGUUUGCUUACAGAGACACCAUCGCAGAGACCAAAGCCUGGAAUGGUCUGAAAGUUGACCUUUACAUAAAUUAAACAGGGGGGGAGCACACUGAAGGCUAUAUCCCUGCUAGUAGAUACCCAAGACUCACAGCCUGCAUAACUCAGCUGCAUGCAUCCAGUCACACAAACACACACACAUACACACACACACUUUCUACUCCCUCUUCUUCCUUUACUUAUUCCAUUAUAGCAAAAAAAAGCUUCUUAAUCCAAAAUUUGUUUACUUCACAGACUAAGAGGGGAAAGGGGCUCCCAGCAGAGGUUGUUACAGGAAACUGUGAAUGAUAUAUAUGGAACAGAGGUCUGGUAUUGAGACCCCCUGCAGGGAUAAUGCUCUGAAUGAUAGUCCACCCUUCGGAUUAGCCAAAGAGACAAAGAAGGAAAAAGCGCUUCUGCUCCCCGGAUGCCUUGAAAUCAGGCAACUUCUCAGACACCUCAAAUCUCACACUGUGCUUGCUACAGCAGUUCUCUCAAACAGGGAGUCGACACUUUUAGCUGAGCUACAGGGAGGCAUGCUCGCGCACAGACGCACACAUGCACACGGUCACACAAACAGACAAAUAAAAAAAAAAAGGAGAUAAUGCAAAGCUAUGCCCAAAACACUUUGUGCUCACCACCCCAGGCUUCUGAGCUGAAUUAUUCAGAGAGCAGGGUGUGUAUGAAAGUCAUACAGAUUCACUUCAGUUUUAUCAAUAACUGCUCCUCUAGUCCAUUCAUCUACCCAUCCAUCUAUCCAAUCACCCCUCCCACUUCUCCACCUCCGGCUCUGCAUUGCAGGUUGCUGAUGCUCUGACGCUGAAACAGGUGUCUGGGCUAUUAGUAUGAGUCUUUCUGUGCCACCUCCUCUAUCCCACACAUUAGAUGACAAACAUAAAUCAGGGCUGCGUGAAUGAGCGACAGUCAAUCAAGGGCUUUCUGCAAUAGCAGCCAAGCAGUAUGCCUCAUCUCAUCGUCAAACACCAACGAUAUAAACUUACAUUUAAUGCAAAAGAUGUUGAAAACAGACCACACCAAAGUAAUGAUUAAAAAGACUGUGAGUGAGCAUUACUAUUUAUUAUUUAGGCAGGAGUUAAAUAUGACCUCCCAAGUUCAGCCUGAGCAGCAAAAUCCUUUUCAUCUUCAAUCAUAAACUGAACACUCAUCUAUUUAAGAGGUGUGCUACGUCAUCCCCUCCCCCCUGAAUCAUAUUCACUCUCCAAUCUUUGCCCUCUACUCACUCUAAUUUCCUCUCAUAAAAAAUACAGCCAAGACAGUACAGAUGACCUUAAAAAAAAAAGCAGCAGAGAGUUUUGUUUUAUCUGUCUCCACUAAAGGUCUUAGUCGCAAUAUCUUACAUUAGCACUCACAUCAGCAUCCAUGUCACAACCUUAUUCAGACAGCCAGACAGACAGUCCAAACAAAGUCAGUUAGAUUCAACAACACUAAAGAGAUGGGUGUCAGAGUGACAGAUGGAAAGUUGAGCAUCUGUCACUGUGCUGAACCAUUUGGCUGAAAUCAAAGGAAGAUGAGGGCCUUCAAAGGACAGGCAAAGCCAUGUCUGAGGCCAGACAUGCUCUGGUGUGCUCCGCAGAUAAGGGCCAAGAGGUUAUAUUGCUUUUCUUCUGUCUCUCCCUUUGUUCUCUUCUGUCUUAAGGGAGUGGGGGGGGGGGACAGAGCAAAAAGACAGAGCAAAAAGUAGAGAAAGAGAGAGAGAGAGAGGUAGAGACGGGGGGGCAGGGCAGAGAAUGAGUCAUGAACAGGUUGCCUGUCUCCCUCUGCCACAGCGCACCGUGUUGAUCAAACACUCGUUAGUUGAAUUUGCUUGGUGUUUCCGGACAGCGAGGGUAAUGAGCAGAAGUGGCUGGAGCACAGGGGUGCCGGGCCGUGAUGUGGAUCAUUUCUGACAAUAUAAAAGUACUUUUGCCUUCCAGCCCUUCCCACUCCCUGCCUUCUCCAGCUUGCUGCAGCAGAGCCAUUGCCUCCAGCACACCUUCGACUGGGAGCACUUUGACUCAGCUGGAUGCGAGGCAGGAGCUAAAUAGCAGAGUAAUCCUCGGUGGAAUUUUGAAAGGAAUGUACACACUACUUCAAAUCUUAAAGGGUUUGCAGGUUUUACUUUCUUGGCACCAGGUGAAGAACACCACAGCCCUGGAGCACCAUCUAUGAAGUUGGCUGCUGUGUGGUUUAAAAUGCUUUCAGUGUGCAAGAGGGUGGGAAUGGUGCACUUUUGCUCUGACCUACCAUCCAUCUUCUCUUUAGAGAGAAUAUUCCCCCUAAUAAGUAUUCUGACAAAAACAUUUUUUGUAUGGCAACAUGUUUGUUUUCUAACAUUUAUUACAGGGCUUAAUUUGCUAUGUAUCACUACUGCAUGGUGGAUUUUGUCACUGUCCUUGAGGGAUUAGAGAUAUACAGCUCAUUUUGGUCUCUGUGCUGGUCAGCAAAUUUCAAAAGGUCAGGCCAAUGUUAUUGCAUUGAUGGUGAUGUUAAAAGAUUUUCAUAGUGGGGGGCAGCAAAACAAAGGCCACCAUUUGGCAUUAUUGGAUUGGAACAACAGCGUUUGUCAGAUACAUUGAUUUUUCUGCUACUGGUUCCCAUUAUGUUGAUGUAGGCAGUAUGUGAGCUGCCACAUAUGACCCUGCAGUAAAGUGUAUAACACAUGCCUAACAUCGGCAGAUUAGAACACUAAGAAGGGUCCAUUCUCCUCUAGCAAGGACAAGUCAAUCUGAUGGGUGAUAAUGAUGGAGGAUGGGUGAAUAAAUGGCUAAUGUCCUGUCAGUUUAAUGCACUUAAGAAUAGCCUCAUUUAGGUUUAAGUUUAGCUGACUUCAAUGUCUGAUGAUUACAAGGGGAGUGUGUGUCACUUGUAACAGGUAAGGACACACAAUGUAAUAAUGUAGUACACAACAUAAUGUAAAUGUUUAGUGAAAAUUUACUUGGAAGUAACUGAAUCACAGUUGCAAACACUGUUACAAAUGGGGUCACAAAUUGAAACUAACAGACAGUUACACUGCAAAAAGUUGAACAUAACAUGCAUACAUUAUUGUGGGCACCCUUAAUUUUUUGAACAGAUCAUGUUUAACCAUGAUGAUAACAAUUUAAAAUGCACAAACUACAGGGAUUAUCUCAAUAAAAUUCCCUUGAAAAUUAGUUUUCAAAUAAUACUUUUCUCAGCAUAUUGCCAUUUGUAAAAUAGUCUUGCUUGACAAUAAAAGUUACGACUAAAAAGGGAAAACUAAAUCAACUAAUUUGUCUUGCAGAAAAUCAUCACUUUGCUGUCUUACUGCCACCAAGCCUGUUGAAGUGGAUCAACAAAAUUAGCUGCCAACAUAUUAAACAAAUGAAUUUUUAUGGUAAUUCUUCAUCAUUUAUAGGAACUUGGUGUGUAAUGGACAAAAUAACCCAUGACGACUGUGUUUGUGUGCAUGUGUGUGUGUGUUUGUAUGUUUAAUAUAGCAACAUCAAAGUAUGUCCUCAUAUAUAUCUAUGCUUUUAAUAGAGACGUGAAAAUAAGUAGCCUACAUAAUUCAGCCGACAUCCUUGUUUUUGAUACAAGAACGACACUGCUCAUAGAAGAAGCAUAGGUCUAAAUGUCCUCUGCAUUGGUUAUCACAUGACAUAGGGCUAAUUAACUCUAGAGCGGAAAAUAGAGGCCCUGUAAGGAGCAAUAAACAUUCUCCAUUAAAAGCCAUCUAAUUAGAAUGCAAGCUACAAGGGCUUGAAGGAGAACAUAACAAACAGGGAGGCCAGUGUAAUUGUCAACCAAGCUCUGAGGAAAGCAAACAUAAUAGACAUAAUCAGCCGAGCACUUCCUAUAAGGUCACGAUAGAAUACUGUGGAAGUACUUCUCCAUAUCUGACUGAAGUUUCCAGAUGGUGUUUUCCUCAACCGCGGAAAAGGUCACAGACAUCUCAGCAGUCAUGCACUUCAGAUAGCAUGCCAUCAAUUAUAACCUAAUCUAUCUGUUGAUACCUGGCGAGAAGAGCAUGAAGCAAAGAAACUGCUUCUUUUAAGUUCUGCCAAAUUCAUCCUUGGUUCACAUGUAAAUUUUCAGUGUGAUGAAAACACCAAAUAAUGGUUUCUCCUGGAUAAAAGCAACAUCUCAAAGGAAAUAACAUUUUACAAACAGGCUUUACUUUCCUUUUAUGGUCACUUUUAAUUAAGUACAUUUAAGGGAUAAAAAACAUCUUUAAACAGUGUUGAAAAUGUACUUGUAUUCAGCUCAGUCUUAUUUUCCACUGCUUUUUAAGAAGGGAGCAAGACAGCCAAAGUCAACAAAGUCAAAAGUUAAGGGGAAACUGUAAGAUUUCCAAGUCAGCCAGUGCUCCCCCAUCCAGUCAAGGCCUUUAGGCUCCGUGGUUGAUCGAUAGUAAUGGAAACGCCAGUGGGUCUCCAGAGCCCAUUGCCAAUUUAACCUGUUUUACCAUGACUCAAUUCUUCCUUCUUCUUCAAAUAACCCAGGUGCUUACCGGGAUGGACUACAGGCUUCUGCUGCUGAUAAGAUGAGCGUGCUGGAGCAGAGGGAAGGAAAGAUGGAUGCAGAAAAAUAGUUUUAGGCUGUGUGUGUGUGUCUACAAGCUUCACUGGCUUAAAAAAACACUGCCAAGAGACAGUACGGGUUAGGCAGGCAAGCAGACAGGUGAGGGAAUCUAUAGCAUAGCAUCCAACAGCAGAAAUUUUCUCAAUUUACUUUUACUUGCAUAAGCAUGCUUCACACGCAACACAGACACAAAACACCCCAGCCAGCUUCAUGGCCAAUUUAUGUAUCACGCUGGGCACAUUAUGAGUUCCUGUGUCAGGUAAAUGUGUUUGGAGCGAUGAGGAAGAAUGAUUUUGACUGCGAGUGAAAAUAAUAAAUAAUCUCCAUAAAAACUUUCAAGGAUUCAAUCUUGGUCAACAACUGCCUGUGAUCCAUAUAACUGACAAUGGGCUUAUUUUUACCAUAAACCUGUGGCCUUUUUA